CCUACGGGGGGCAGCAGUGAGGAAUAUUGGUCAAUGGGCGCGAGCCUGAACCAGCCAAGUCGCGUGAGGGAAGACGGUCCUAUGGAUUGUAAACCUCUUUUGUCGGGGAGCAAAAGACGCCACGCGUGGCGUUCCGAGAGUACCCGAAGAAAAAGCAUCGGCUAACUCCGUGCCAGCAGCCGCGGUAAUACGGAGGUGGCGAGCGUUAUCCGGAUUUGAUGGGUUUAAAGGGUGCGUAGGCGGGAGAUCAAGUCAGCGGUGAAAUUGAGGGGCUCAAACCUUUCCGGGCCGUUGAAACGGGUUGACUUGAGUGUGUGAGAGGUAUGCGGAAUGCGUGGUGUAGCGGUGAAAUGCAGAGAUAUCACGAAGAACUCCGAUGGCGAAGGCAGCAUACCGG
rnacentral:rRNA from 1 species